AUUGAACGCUUGCGGCAGGCCUAACACAUGCAAGUCGAACGAGCGGCGGACGGGUGAGUAAUGUCUGGGAAACUGCCCGAUGGAGGGGGAUAACUACUGGAAACGGUAGCUAAUACCGCAUACCAUCGGAUGAGCCCAGAUGGGAUUAGCUAGUAGGUGCGGUAAUGGCUCACCUAGGCGACGAUCCCUAGCUGGUCUGAGAGGAUGACCAGCCACACUGGAACUGAGACACGGUCCAGACUCCUACGGGAGGCAGCAGUGGGGAAUAUUGCACAAUGGGCGCAAGCCUGAUGCAGCCAUACCGCGUGUAUGAAGAAGGCCUUCGGGUUGUAAAGUACUUUCAGCGAGGAGGCGUUACUCGCAGAAGAAGCACCGGCUAACUCCGUGCCAGCAGCCGCGGUAAUAC
rnacentral:rRNA from 1 species